UUUACCUGUAUUUCUCUUUAGAAUUACUUUCCUGUUCACGUUCAAAGACAUGCAAUGCUGGGUGUAUUUUUUCUCCACUAGAUGUCAGUGUUGUCUUUCUUGUCCUUCCUGACUUCUUCUUCGUUGGUUAUUAGUUUGUGCGUGUUGGCGCCAUCUAGCAGCAUCCGCCUAGAGACAGCAGCUGGUUAGUACAAACGCCAUUUUGAGAGCAGCACUUAAAGAGUUAAUCACAUCACUUAAAAGCAUUUUUCCUGGGUAAACUUCGACAAGACACAAUUUCUGUGCUUUCCAUUAUGUUGGAAGAUACAUCAUUUCAACCAGCUCCAGCUAUGAAUGCAGAAAAGGGCGUCGUCUCACGAGGCAAUGGGCCCAACAUUUCCCAGCAUGACGUGAUGUUGUGUAAGUACAAUACUGUAUACCUGUAAUUGUUUCUUGAUGUGUACAAAAUGAUAAUAAUAACUAAGUAUGGC